rnacentral:rRNA from 1 species
ACAACUUUCAGCAAUGGAUCUCUUGGUUCUCGCAUCGAUGAAGAACGCAGCGAAUUGCGAUAAGUAAUGUGAAUUGCAGAUUUUCAGUGAAUCAUCGAAUCUUUGAACGCACCUUGCGCCCCUUGGUAUUCCGAGGGGCAUGCCUGUUUGAGUGUCAU